rnacentral:rRNA from 1 species
GUACGAAGGGAGCUAGCGUUGUUCGGAAUCACUGGGCGUAAAGCGCACGUAGGCGGAUGUGUCAGUCAGGGGUGAAAUCCUGGAGCUCAACUCCAGAACUGCCUUUGAUACUGAGUAGCUUGAGUCCGGAAGAGGCGAGUGGAAUUCCUGGUGUAGCGGUGAAAUGCGCAGAUAUCAGGAGGAACACCCGAUGGCGAAGGCAGCUCGCUGGGACGGUACUGGACGCUGGAGGCGCGAAAGCGUGGGGAGCAAACAGG